rnacentral:rRNA from 1 species
UACGAAGGGGGCUAGCGUUGUUCGGAAUUACUGGGCGUAAAGCGCGCGCAGGCGGUUCUUCAAGUCAGUGGUGAAAGCCCGGAGCUCAACUCCGGAACUGCCAUUGAAACUGUAGAACUUGAGGAUGAGAGAGGUGAGUGGAAUUCCCAGUGUAGAGGUGAAAUUCGUAGAUAUUCGCAAGAACACCAGUGGCGAAGGCGGCUCACUGGCCCGGUACUGACGCUGAUGCACGAAAGCGUGGGGAGCAAACAGG